rnacentral:miRNA from 10 species
GGUGUUCCUUCAGUGGCAUAAA